UUAAAGCGUCAGUAGCUUGGUUGUUAAGUCUCUUGGGAAAUAUACCAGAUCAACCGGUAGGCGUUCAGGAGAUAAAGGCAAUCUAGGGACCGGGAGAGGUGAGAGGUACUCCAGGGGUAGGAGUGAAAUCCUGUAAUCCUUGGGGGACCACCUGUGGCGAAGGCGUCUCACUAGAACGGCUCCGACAGUGAGGGACGAAAGCUGGGGGAGCAAACCGGAUUAGAUACCCGGGUAGUCCCAGCUGUAAACGAUGCGCGUUAGGUGUAUCGGUGACCACGAGUCACCGAGGUGCCGAAGGGAAACCGUGAAACGUGCCGCCUGGGAAGUACGGUCGCAAGGCUGAAACUUAAAGGAAUUGGCGGGGGAGCACCACAACAGGUGGAGCCUGCGGUUUAAUCGGACUCAACGCCGGAAAGCUCACCCGAUAAGACAGCGGCUUAUAGCCGGGCUGAAGACUCUGCUGACUAGCUGAGAGGUGGUGCAGGCCGUCGUCAUUCUUAGGGGUUAAUUUCAUUANU
rnacentral:rRNA from 1 species